AGGUUAGUAAGUUAAGUUAAACUACAGGGUUCAUGUCCCUAUAAUAUGGGUUUCCUUCUAACCCA
rnacentral:tRNA from 1 species